rnacentral:rRNA from 1 species
GCUUACACAUGCAGUCGAACGGUGAAGCCAAGCUUGCUUGGUGGAUCAGUGGCGAACGGGUGAGUAACACGUGAGCAACCUGCCCUGGACUCUGGGAUAAGCGCUGGAAACGGCGUCUAAUACUGGAUAUGAGACGUGAUCGCAUGGUCGUGUUUGGAAAGAUUUUUCGGUCUGGGAUGGGCUCGCGGCCUAUCAGCUUGUUGGUGAGGUAAUGGCUCACCAAGGCGUCGACGGGUAGCCGGCCUGAGAGGGUGACCGGCCACACUGGGACUGAGACACGGCCCAGACUCCUACGGGAGGCAG